GUUGUUGCAGUUAAAAAGCUCGUAGUUGGAUAUCUGGUGGGAGCAAUGGGUCUCGCGCUUAGCGCGGGUACUUCAGUUGACUCCGGCCAUCCUCGGGGAGAGCCCGUCUGGCAUUAGGUUGUCGGGCGGGGGAUCCCCGUCAUUUACUGUGAAAAAAUUAGAGUGUUCAAAGCAGGCUUAUGCCGUUGAAUAUAUUAGCAUGGAAUAAUAAGAUAGGACUUGGGUACUAUUUUGUUGGUUUGCGCACCCAAGUAAUGAUUAAUAGGAACAGUCGGGGGUAUUCAUAUUCCGUUGUCAGAGGUGAAAUUCUUGGAUUUACGGAAGAUGAACUACUGCGAAAGCAUUUACCAAGGAUGUUUUCAUUAAUCAAGAACGAAAGUUGGGGGAUCGAAGAUGAUUAGAUACCAUCGUAGUC
rnacentral:rRNA from 1 species